rnacentral:rRNA from 1 species
CGAGCGAGCUUGCCUAGAUGAUUUUAGUGCUUGCACUAAAUGAAACUAGAUACAAGCGAGCGGCGGACGGGUGAGUAACACGUGGGAAACCUGCCCAAGAGACUGGGAUAACACCUGGAAACAGAUGCUAAUACCGGAUAACAACACUAGACGCAUGUCUAGAGUUUGAAAGAUGGUUCUGCUAUCACUCUUGGAUGGACCUGCGGUGCAUUAGCUAGUUGGUAAGGUAACGGCUUACCAAGGCAAUGAUGCAUAGCCGAGUUGAGAGACUGAUCGGCCACAUUGGGACUGAGACACGGCCCAAACUCCUACGGGAGGCAGCAGUAGGGAAUCUUCCACAAUGGACGAAAGUCUGAUGGAGCAACGCCGCGUGAGUGAAGAAGGGUUUCGGCUCGUAAAGCUCUGUUGGUAGUGAAGAAAGAUAGAGGUAGUAACUGGCCUUUAUUUGACGGUAAUUACUUAGAAAGUCACGGCUAACUACGUGCCAGCAGCCGCGGUAAUACGUAGGUGGCAAGCGUUGUCCGGAUUUAUUGGGCGUAAAGCGAGUGCAGGCGGUUCAAUAAGUCUGAUGUGAAAGCCUUCGGCUCAACCGGAGAAUUGCACCAGAAACUGUUGAACUUGAGUGCAGAAGAGGAGAGUGGAACUCCAUGUGUAGCGGUGGAAUGCGUAGAUAUAUGGAAGAACACCAGUGGCGAAGGCGGCUCUCUGGUCUGC